GACGAACGCUGGCGGCGUGCCUAAUACAUGCAAGUAGAACGCUGAAGGAGGAGCUUGCUUCUCUGGAUGAGUUGCGAACGGGUGAGUAACGCGUAGGUAACCUGCCUGGUAGCGGGGGAUAACUAUUGGAAACGAUAGCUAAUACCGCAUAAGAGUAGAUGUUGCAUGACAUUUGCUUAAAAGGUGCAAUUGCAUCACUACCAGCUGGAUCUGCGUUGUAUUAGCUAGUUGGUGGGGUAACGGCUCACCAAGGCGACGAUACAUAGUCUACCUGAGAGGAGGUGCGGCACAACUGAGAUUAUGAAACGGCCCAUACUCCUACGGGAGGCGGCAGUAGGGAUUCUUCGGAAAUGGACGGAAUGCUGACCGAGCAACGCCGCGUGAGUGAAGAAGGUUUUCGUAUCGUAAAGCUCUGUUGUAAGAGAAGAACGAGUGUGAGAGUAGAAAGUUCCCACUGUGACGGUAUCUUACCAGAAGAGGACGGCUAACUACGUG
rnacentral:rRNA from 1 species